GAUGAACGUUGGCGGUGUGCCUAAUACAUGCAAGUCGAACGGAGUUAAUAGCAAUAUUGGCUCAGUGGCGAACGGGUGAGUAACGCGUUGGUGAUCUGCCUUGAAGUGUGGAAUAACGUUUCGAAAGAGACGCUAAUACCGCAUGUGCUCUCGAUUUUCAGAAAGUUGAGAGUAAAGGAUUUAUUCGCUUCAAGAGGAGCCUGCGUCCCAUCAGCUGGUUGGUAGGGUAACGGCCUACCAAGGCUAUGACGGGUAGGGGACCUGAGAGGGUGGCCCCCCACAAUGGAACUGAAACACGGUCCAUACACCUACGGGUGGCAGCAGUAGGGAAUAUUAGAAAUGGACGAAAGUCUGAUCUAGCAACACCGCGUGUGCGAAGAAGGCCUUCGGGUCGUAAAGCUCUGUUAUCAGGGAAGAAGAAAAUAGACGGUACCUGAUGAGCAAGUCCCGGCUAACUACGUG
rnacentral:rRNA from 1 species